CAUCCUCGAUCUGCUGCGGACAGAUGAAAUGGAUGUGGCUGUCGAAGCCCCCCGCGGUCAGGAUCCUGCCCUCGCCCGCAAUCGCCUCGGUCCCCGGACCGACGAUGAUGUUCACGCCGUCCUGCGUAUCGGGGUUGCCCGCCUUGCCGAUGGCCGCAAUGCGCCCGUCCUUCAGUCCCACGUCGGCCUUGUAGAUACCCGUGUAGUCCACGAUCAGCGCGUUGGUGAUGACGCAAUCGACGGCCCCGUCGGCACGCGGAGACUGGCUCUGCCCCAUCCCGUCGCGGAUG
rnacentral:sRNA from 1 species